rnacentral:misc_RNA from 1 species
AAGGAUCAUUACUGAAUUGUCGACACGAGCUGUUGCUGGUCCUCAAACGGGGGCACGUGCACGCUCUGUUUACACAUCCACUCACACCUGUGCACCCCUGUAGUUCUGUGGUUUGGGAGGCCCUGCCUUCCUUCUGUAGUCCUACCUCUUUACACACACACAUUAAUGAAGUCUCGUGGAAUGUAUGCAGCGUUUAACGCAAUACAAUACAACUUUCAGCAACGGAUCUCUUGGCUCUC